rnacentral:rRNA from 1 species
GUGAGGAAUUUUCCGCAAUGGGCGAAAGCCUGACGGAGCAAUGCCGCGUGAAGGAUGAAGGCCUAUGGGUUGUAAACUUCUUUUCUUAGAGAAGAAUAUUGACGGUAUCUGAGGAAUAAGCAUCGGCUAACUCUGUGCCAGCAGCCGCGGUAAGACAGAGGAUGCAAGCGUUAUCCGGAAUGAUUGGGCGUAAAGCGUCUGUAGGUGGCUUCAAAAGUCUCCUGUCAAAGAUCAGGGCUUAACCCUGGGCCGGCAGGAGAAACUCUGAGGCUAGAGAGUGGUAGGAGCAGAGGGAAUUCCCGGUGCAGCAGUGAAAUGCGGAGAGAUCGGGAGGAACACCAAAGGAGAAAGACCUCUGCUGGGCCACAACUGACACUGAGAAACGAAAGCGAGGGGAGCAAAAGGGAUUAGAUACCCUAGUAGUCC